GAUGAAGAACGUAGCGAAAUGCGAUAAGUAAUGUGAAUUGCAGAAUUCAGUGAGUCAUCGAAUCUUUGAACGCACCUUGCGCCUUUUGGUAUUCCGAAAGGCACACCUGUUUGAGCGUCAUGAAUACCUCAAUCUCCAUCUUUUCUUCGGAUUGAUGGGUGACUUGGAUGUUGAGCCCUGCUGGUAUGCUAUAUCAGCUGGCUUUAAACUUAUUAGCCGGCUCUGUACUGGAUCGGUUUGACUCGACGUGAUAAUAUUAUCGUUGAGGAUGCAUGUCUCAUGCAGCCGGAAAGUAUCAAAGCAGCUUCUAGCUUGCCUUUAGUGCACUUUUACAUUUUAGACCUCAGAUCAGGUGGGACUACCCGCUGAACUUAAGCAUAUCAAUAAGCGGAGGA
rnacentral:misc_RNA from 1 species